UUGGGAUUAACACAAUAAAAACAAUGAUAGUUUAGAAACUUCAGUCAGCAGUGGCCAUCCUCCAGCUCCAUCUCUUGUUACUCAAAUUAAGUUCAAGCACAGCUACAAUUAGAAACAGUUUUGUGCAUAUGUGCUAAAACAGUACAGAGAGGCAACACUUGAAGCCCAACUAACAGUGAAUGAGGCACCCUGACCUACAAACAUAUCAAGUGGCUACAAUAUAGGCAUGACAUGUGCUAGCUGUGUACCAGCUACUGGAUACCAUGAAUCAUGCAGCACACCAGCAAAUUGCUGGGUAUCACGCAAGAUAGCCAACCUCAUGGAUGAUGAACUAUAGUCGAUCCUAGUACCCAGUUUACCAGAUAACAUAUUUUUACACUCUCCAAAUGGGCCACCAAAAGAAUAGAUCUACACAGAUGUAAUUUCCUUCUAGAUGGAUUUAGAGGUAGGUUGAGGGCAUAGCCUGGUGAACUCGUGUGCACUCUGGAGUACACCUAGUGUUUGCUUGCAUUUUCACAUUGUGUAUGCAUGUGUUUGUAAGUGUGUGCAUUUGUAUUAUGUUUAGAAAUACAAUGUUGGCUAGAGUUAUAUAUUUAUGAUUAAGAGAAAAAUGAUUUUUUUUGUCUUUUUAUGCAUGCAACCUAAGAGUGCAUAUAUUGUCGGCCCACUGUCUCCGUCCCUACAACAGCGGUGUUACAUGACACUAAUUUUCAUGGAUCAUUCAACAUGUGUCAUCAAACUCAUCUGUAAAUAUAUGGAUAUAAUAAUCUUUACUUUCUUCACCAACCUAUUGGGAACUCAUUCAUUAAUAGCCUAGUUGUGCAUAUCUGCUAUGCUACUUAUUUUCAUAGUGUCUUUGCUACAAUAGUUGUGCAUGUUGCAGUUGGGUUUGGUGACAAUAUAUAGCAGUGCAACGAGACAACAAUGGUUGUGUGUCCUCUAGAGCUCAAAUUUGUUGCACAAAUUAAUGCUGUCAAAGCAAAAAAAAGACGUACUCUGUAUAUAAAUGCGUUACAACAAAAGGAUGCAACACUUGUACCAAAAUAAACUCAAAGUGUUGCAAUUGAAGCAUAUGUGAUCUACACAUGCCUAGUCGCGAGUAGGCAUGAGAGGCUUUGGGAAUUCAGCUCUCAUCUAUUUUGUGUCUAGAUUGGUGCCAACCUCAAUAUGAUUCCUAAUGUGUGGUUUUCAUGGCCUCUACCCCACCUCAUGCCAAAACAAUAAUGUUCCCAGCUAGCUGAUCCUCACACCAGAUCUUGGCACUCUUAAUAGCUGCAGCAAUGCUCAAAGAAUUGUACUCUAUCACACUAUAAGCUUGAAGUAGUUACCGAUUGUAGUUGGUGGUGUGAUUUAUAAUAUGGGGGAUUGGUCACAGAGAUGCUAAAGUGGGACGUGAUGUGGUGGGGGUAAAACAAUGGGCCAAAAGGGGAACAGGUUGAGGAUUGUCCGAGUAGGGGAUGGAUUUUGUGGAUUUAUACCAGCGUUGGAAAGUGGGGUUGGAGAGGAUUUGUGCUGGUUCGAUGUUGU
rnacentral:lncRNA from 1 species